AUGGCCGCUGACCAGCUGAAGACCACGGCCACUUUCCAGGCUGACCCCACGCCAGGAAUGGCCGCUGACCGGCUGAAGACCACGGCCACUUUCCAGGCUGGGAAGUUAGAGCAACAAAGCAAAGCCCUCUCCAGUCUCCUUCCUGGAGGGUCUCAGAAGACGCCCCCGCUUGUCAUCCCAAAGGGGCUCAGAGCCCCAGGUCUGGCCCCUGGCACUUCUGGAGUAGGCUGGGGAUCCUGCCAACAGCCAGGCGGUCGGGCCGGCCCCCGCAGUGGGGGAGCAGGCUGCCCCGAAGUGCGCUCGGGCCUGGAGGCCAAGGGCACAGCCACCAGCAUAAGGCUGGCCUCCCCAUAGCCCAGACAUGGCGACAUCCCUCCCGAGCCCACGCUGCAGCCCGAAACCCCUCCCUCCACAGAGACCCCCUCGCUCUCAGCAGCUCAGGGGCACAGCAGCUGCUCUCAGCCCCAGCUGUUCACCGCCCUGGACCACCGACGACUCCCUCAGGACUUCUGACUUAGCAGGCGGGUUGGGCGGCUCCUGGCCCAGGUACAGCCAAGACUCACCCCUCACCCCAGGGAGAGAUGCCAGGAGGGUCCUUGCAGCCCCUCCCCGUUCCAUCAACAAGGGUUAAUUAAAACGCAUGUGGUUCCGAGAAGUGACUGGAAGGGGGGCUGUGAUCUAUUAACUUAUUGUCUCCACUUCCACUGGGCGCGGGGUUCACACAUCUGCAGAUCAUCAGAGCGGAGAUUUCUGGCAAAGGACGGCUUUGGUCCUGUGCAAGACGGUGUUUCCCAGGCGAACGCCCUAAACGGAGUGGUUAAAAGUGAAAAGCAUAAAUACCCACCCACCAAACGGAGUAAAAAUGGAAAUGUCUCCUGCUUGCGGAGGUGAGCCCGGAGCUUUGCAUACGUUGACCUUCCCUGGGGGGCCUCUCGUCCCUUGCGAUGAUGGGCGGCCACCGAGACAGCGGACGGCCUGACCUUUAUUCAGCUAAAAGCACGGGGCCCUGGGUGUUAAGUGGAUGUCACUCCGGGAUGGAAUUGAUCCUAGAAUGAGAAGCUCUGGAGCUGUCUUAGAUAAUGUGAUGGCAAAUGGACUCAGUGUGCUUGGCUCGGGCAAAUUAAACAAAACCCAAUGCAAAUAGUCCUUCCCCUGCUGAGCUGCUUCAGAGACAAGCAGCUCCUCUCCUCUGAAAGAAGGCCUGGUCCUCGGAGACCCAGCAGCUUUCACAGGAUUUGGAGGGAAAUCCCUGAGCUUGCUGCACAAGGAAACUCCUGGGGGCAGUCAGGUCGACCUUAAUGUCUUCACUCUGAAGGAGUGGCUUUGAAUCUGAAAAAAUAAAUAUACGUAUAUUAAAAUAGUUAAGGAUACUUUUAAGAAGAUUCACAGGAAAGCACUUGCCCCACCAAAAUCAAACAAAGAACGGCAGGCGGUAACAUGCACACAGGCCCCUUCUCAGAGACGGCAGUCACCAACACGGGGUAAACGGCCAAAGCCACGUAAAGACACCGGGAAGCCCGCAGAGCACACGGAGGAGAGGCUCAAGCUCGGGGAAAGGCGUCUGGGAAGAGGAGGCGUCAGGGCCCGUCUUCCUGGACCACCACCUUCAGGGAGCGCAGAAGGCAAGGCCCGGCCGGCCAGGCUGACAGGCCCAGGGUCAGUGUCCAGGCCCCCAACCCCGUCCAGCAGACUCAGCACCUUCAGGGGCGCAGAAGGCAAGGCCCGGCCAGGCUGACAGGCCCAGGGUCAGUGUCUAGGCCCACCGUCCAGCAGACUCACCACCUACAGGGAGCGCAGAAGGCAAGGCCCGGCCGGCCAGGCAGCAGGCCCGGGUCAGUGUCCAGCAGAUUCCCCUUCUGGGCCUUGGGGCAGCCUCCAGGGCCCUGAGCGAGAAAUCUUUUAGGACAAAGCCAAGUCUAAGCCACAGUAUCAUGAUUUCUGGCAAAGGACGGCUUUGGUCCUGUGCAAGACGGUGUUUCCCAGGCGAACGCCCUAAACGGAGUGGUUAAAAGUGAAAAGCAUAAAUACCCACCCACCAAACGGAGUAAAAAUGGAAAUGUCUCCUGCUUGCGGAGGUGAGCCCGGAGCUUUGCAUACGUUGACCUUCCCUGGGGGGCCUCUCGUCCCUUGCGAUGAUGGGCGGCCACCGAGACAGCGGACGGCCUGACCUUUAUUCAGCUAAAAGCACGGGGCCCUGGGUGUU
rnacentral:lncRNA from 1 species